UCUUUGGAUGCGAGAAUGUGUUUGGGGACAAUUGGAGCAAAUUGACUCCCUUACGGUUAGUAUGAAGGUUUGAAAGUGAAAGAUUUUUGGUACGUUUCUAGAAAGUAAAUAAAUGAAUCCAAGUUUCAAGCACAUUGUCUUUACACUAGUGUGGCAGGCUGGCAGCCUACCAGAUAACCAUUUUGAUUGUUCAUAAAGUGUUACCUUCAUAUUUUGCAAAACCUCUUAUCCAAUUGCGAGUGCAAAGUAGAGUUGGAACAUUCCAUUUAACAAUCAUAAUGGUCAUCUGGUGGGCUCUAGAAUUCAUCAUUAUGCACACCAAAGUAAAGAUUGUGUGCUCGAAACUUGGAUUCAAUUACUUUUUCGUCAAAACAUACCAAAACUCUCUCACUUUUAAAAGUUCAAGUUAACGGAAGUAAGGGGAUCGAUCUGUUCCAAUUGUACUCAAACACACUCUCUCAUCC
rfam:Arabidopsis thaliana chromosome 3, complete sequence.